CUCCUCCUCCUCCUCCUCCGCUCCAGCUCCCACUUCCCGGCUCCGCGGCGCUGGAGGCCGAGGGCCGGCGCAGACAGGAAGGCCGCCCCGCCCACGGCCGCAGGCCAGUUAUGAGUGCAAGCUGUGAUUAUGAAGCCAUUUGGAGAAAAGAGUCACUGUGAAGAAUCAGAGAACUGGGAAGACUCUGACCCACUGGUUCUCAAGCCUCAGAUGGCAAAGGAAAAUCAGAAGGAAGAUGUGCUUCAGUGAAAUGGAGGAGAAGCAGGAUGAUUGAAGACCAGAGAAGACAAUGAGAAAUUGAUGUUCUGUGUUGUACUUCACACGAUAUUUCUACAUGUUCAUUGUGGAAAGGGCUUUUAUGUCAUGCAAUGAGAAGUUUUGUUGUCAUAGAUCCCUUUUAUAAUAGGAAGAAAAGGUAAUUUCAAAUUGAAAAAUAUGCACAUAUAUACAAUCAUUCUGUAUAAAAUAAAUCUAAAGAUGCUUAUUAGACAACAUUGAAAAGGGAAACAACAAAAUAAA